rnacentral:misc_RNA from 1 species
CUUGAUUGGAGCGACUAUUUCUUUCUUCAUUAUAUGCCAGUUAUGCUGCGAAACCAGAGAAAGUGGCCUCAAGUGCCAGCUUCCUGCAGGGAAUUGAUAGAUGAAUAUGGCAGAGAAGUGGUUAGACUUGGCGGAAAACUGAUGAGUGUAUUCUCCAAGAACCUUGGCCUGGAAGAGGACUAUCUUCUAAACGCUUUUGGGGGUGAAGAGAACGUUGGUGCUUGCUUGAGGGUGAAUUUCUACCCUAAGUGUCCCCAACCAGACCUUGCACUAGGUCUCUCACCACACUCCGAUCCAGGUGGCUUCACCAUUCUCCAGCCAGAUGAAAAUGUCGCCGGACUACAAGUCCGUCGAGGUGAAAGUUGGGUUACCGUUAAGCCAGUCCCAAAUGCCUUCAUUAU